ensembl:snRNA U2 U2 spliceosomal RNA
AUUGCUUCUCGGCCUUUUGGCUAAGAUCAAGUGUAGAAUUUUUAGGUCUUCUUCAUUCAACUUUGGUAAUUCAUAUGUAUCUAGGAAUCUGUCCAUUUCUUCUGUGUUUUCCAUCUUAUUAGCAUAUAGGUUCUGGAAGUAGGUAUU